rnacentral:rRNA from 1 species
UGGGGAAUAUUGCGCAAUGGGCGAAAGCCUGACGCAGCAACGCCGCGUGAGUGAAGAAGGCCUUCGGGUUGUAAAGCUCUGUCAGAAGGAAAGAAUGGGUCAGAUAACCUCUGGCUUUGACGGUACCUUCGAAGGAAGCACUGGCUAACUCUGUGCCAGCAGCCGCGGUAAUACAGAGAGUGCAAGCGUUGUUCGGAAUUAUUGGGCGUAAAGCGCGUGUAGGCUGCUCGAUAAGUCUGGCGUGAAAGCC